rnacentral:misc_RNA from 1 species
AUUUUGCACGGGAACAGUCAGCCAUGUUUAAGGCGUAUAUUCGUGAGAACAUUUUCUAGAAAAUACCAGUAUGUGAUACAGGGAUACGAACAAUUAUGGAUCCUCGUUCUAGUGCACAGGAUGUGCACCGAUGUGACCUUUGUGAGACCGCCAUAGUACACAGCUACUGUGACGUUUGUCAUGUCAACCUGUGCAAGCCCUGUAUAGGAGAACAUAUCUCAGAUGGAUAUCAAAAACAUGCAAUUGUGCCUUUCCAAGAACGAAGAUCAACAUUGAUCUAUCCGAAAUGUAGAACUCAUGAACACAAAAAAUGCAAAUUGCAAUGCAAGAGUUGUGGCAACAGUUUUAUUUGUUCUUCUUGUACUGCAUCUGAACAUCAUAGAGGCCAUAUAUUUGUAGAAGUUUUGCAUUCUUACAAGACACAAAAAGAAAUUGUUAAGAAGGAUACAGAAGAAUUAGAAAACAGUAUUUCUCCUAAAUAUGAAGAAAUUGCACGUGACUUGGAAAAUCAGCUUGCCAACCUGGAUGGAGGAUACGAGAAACUUACAAAAACAAUGUCCAAACAAGGAGAGCAAUGGCACAGAGAAAUCGACGCCAUCAUCAACAAAAUGAAAACUGAAAUCAGCGAGAUAAAAGUAAAGCACAGAGAUAUUUUACAGAAACACUUAGAUGAAAUCAAACAGAUACAAUCUCUCAUAAAAGAUACAUUUCUGAUCUUAAUAGAACUCGAGAAAUCCACUGAAGUAUCUCCAACCAUUGAAUACAGCUCUAAGAUCAGAGAGUUCAGCAAGCUUCCACACAAGGCUCAGGUUACACUGCCAACAUUCAUUCCAAAGUCUGUAGACCGUAACAAGUUGUAUACUUUGUUUGGAGAGAUCACCCCAUUAUCUACUGCCACUAAAGAAGUUUCGCCACUAAAUCAACCAAACACUUCAGUCAGAGAACUACUGAAUGAACCGGAGCUUGUUGCCACAGUGCAGACUACGUACACAAAACUACGCAAUGUUGCAUUUCUAGGUAAGGAAAAGAUAUGGACACUUGGAGAAACCAAUGAUAUCAAAUGCUUCAACAUCAAUGGUUCUCUCCUCCAAACAAUAAAGACAAAAUCAAAAAAUUGCCCAAAUGGUUUAGCUGUGGACAGCGAUGGGAAUCUACUUUACUCUGACUUGUUAGCAAACACGGUGAACAAAGUGAAAAAUGGACAGAUAGAAGAAUUGAUCAGAUUACAGGGAUGGAAGCCUGAUAAGCUGUGUGUCACCUCUACUGGUGAUCUCCUGGUUACCAUGUACAGUGAUGAUAGAACUCAAUCCAAAGUUGUCCGUUAUACGGGAUCUUCAGAGAAACAAACCAUUCAAUUUGAUGAUGAAAGUAAACCUCUGUACUCAGGGAAUAGUAAUACUAAACACAUCGCAGAGAACAGAAACCAUGACAUCUGUGUAGCUGACUGGGCGGUUGGUGCAGUAGUGGUGGUUAAUCAGGACAGGGAACUCAGAUGGAGGUACACCGGUCAUCCCUCAUUACCAAGAACGAACCAUUUAAACCCUGGGGUAUCACAACAGACUGCAAGAGUCGUAUCCUGACAUCAGAUUAUAAGAACCAUUGUAUCCAUAUAGUGGAUCAGAAUGGACAGUUUCUCCGUUACAUUGAUAACUGUGAUCUAAAGAAUCCUAUUGGUUUAUGUGUAGACAAUAUUGACAAUCUGUUUGUGUGUGAGUUUUACAAAGGCAACGUAAAAGAAAUCAAAUACUAUAUAGAUGGACACCAAUGUUUGUGAUAAUGAAGAGUGACAUUGAGCUUUUAAGCAGAUAUAACUUCGGGGUGUUUUUUUUCUAAUUUUUUUAAAUCAAUUGAUCCUUUAUCAGACUUACAAAAUAUUCACGUUAAUAACGCAGUUUGAUUUCUUUUGUAUCUUAAAAUAUUAAUAUGCUCAUUUUAAAAUAUUUACCUAAAAUUACAAUGAGUGUUUACCCUU